rnacentral:rRNA from 1 species
UCGGGAAUAUUGCGCAAUGAGGAACUGACUGACGCAGUGACGCCGCGUAUAGGAAGAAGGUUUUCGGAUUGUAAACUAUUGUCGUUAGGGAAGAAAAAAUGACAGUACCUAAGGAGGAAGCUCCGGCUAACUACGUGCCAGCAGCCGCGGUAAUACGUAGGGAGCGAGCGUUAUCCGGAUUUAUUGGGUGUAAAGGGUGCGUAGACGGGUGCGCAAGUUGGUUGUGAAAUCCCUCGGCUUAACUGAGGAACUGCAACCAAAACUGUAUAUCUUGAGUACCGGAGAGGUCAUCGGAAUUCCUUGUGUAGCGGUGAAAUGCGUAGAUAUAAGGAAGGACACCAGUGGCGAAGGCGGAUGACUGGACGGCAACUGACGGUGAGGCGCGAGAGCGUGGGGAGCAAACAGGAUUAGAUACC